rnacentral:lncRNA from 1 species
GCCUGCCAUGGGCUGGAACGUGGGCGGUACUAGUCCAGUGCCGGAAUGAUAAUGUUGUUAGAAUCUAAACUAUGUUAACCGAUUAAUGACAAGUAAUCUCAUUGAAUUACUGUUAAAUAGAAUUGUUGAUUGGGUGGUAUGUGACAUGUUUACACAAAAAUAUGGUGAUAUAUGGCAUGUAUCUUGAGACUUUCAUUUAUGGUGAUAUGUAUGUAAUUGAGUUGCUAUAUGGUUAAACUUGAUUUGUAUGCUGGCAUGGCUUAUAUGUGUGUUCUAUAAAUAUAACCACUGAAUCCGUUAAGCAUUAGUUAAUUAUUAGAUUGUUGAUGUAGGAAUCUUACUAUAUUUUUAUAUCUUUAUAUUUGCUAAAAGAUGUUUUCAUAUUCAUGCUGGCGUGGAGGAUUCUUUCUGAGUUGUAAAACUUAUAUACUUGUUGCAUUUUUUGUCCAGAGUCGUAGGAUGUCUAGUUUCAGAUGGGUUUGGACAUGAAGUUCGAGUGAUGGAAUCUUAAGUUAGUUAAUUUAUUUUCUAAUACUAAUGAACGGUUGAAAAUUUUGUAAUUGAACAAGUUAGUUAUUUAAAUCAUAGUUGAUUUAUUUAGUUAGAUUAUUUGGCUAUUAACAGUUGAAUUAAAUUUUUAUAGAUUUCUAGGGCAUCACUCUGGGGUUUAGGUGGCCGUGUCAUGUGGUCGAUCUAGGUGACAGUUUCGGGGCAUGAUAAAAGUGGUAUCAUGUCUGGUGAUGAGAUAUUUCCUGCUACUUGUUUUCCUAGGUUUCUUGUGUUUCCACCUGGUAGCUCUUUGGGGACAUCAACAAAGAGAGCCAGAGACAAACAGCAAGAAACAAAAAGGCUGUAUCCAACAUGGCGAUUUGCAUCAUAACAAACUAAUGCAGCAAGCUUCUCUUUAUGGCCUGGUAGUUGCAUGCUCCUGGGUCUAAAGAAUCCCCUGAUGUUAAGAGGCCAGUUAGCUCUUGGUUAUGUAGUUGGAUGUGAUCCUCCAGGCUAGCUGUCCAUUGGUGUUGAUUGUUUAGGUAUCCUAAGAGAAUGAUAAUAGUCGGCUGUCCACAUUUUAAAGGUUUGAUUUGGUGAUCUCAACCUGCAGGUU